GUCGAUCAAUACUUCCCCUGUAGCUUAUCACUAAUGUGCAACCAGCUGUUUGUCUACAUAAAGACUUGGACCGGACACGGACCUCCCUCGGCUCCCCGCCUGCCCCGUCAGCUUCUGGACUUUUACCGUUUUGGAAAGAUACCGGAAGGUAUAUGUAGAGGGUGGGACGGGGACGGAAGAGCAGCUGGAACGAGAGACGAGAACGACUGCCAUCCGAUGCAAACGGAGCGCCUGACGGCAGAGUUCUUGACGCCGAUGCCAGAAUUCCCGACCCAUCCGUCCACCAAUCGCCAUCUGUCCUCCGGAGCUGUGGAGUGUGACAAUGGUGUUUGUGUCCUGUCAAUCAAACGCCAUCAUCACACUAAAUAGCUACAGGGUGGAAAAAACACUCUCGGAUCCCUCUGAUUUUGUUCUUCUUUUUUUUUUUUUUUUUUUUUUUUUCUCAGAUUUGAGGUAAAUUUUCUUAAAAUGUCCAAAAAGUUUGAAUGGCCUUGCUUUUUAUUUCUGUAAAAACAUUAAAUCCAUUUUAAUUUCAGUUAAUUUUAAAUUGAAUUCAACAAGAAAUAUUUUUCACGGGCCAAUGUAACUCACAAAUAUAAAGCAGAACAAUUGUUAUUUACUACCCCAUUGGGGCCAAAAGGUUUAUAACGUAAAAAUGGCAUGAACAUAUCUUCGACUAAUGUUCCUUUUCCGACACAGUUUUGGCCAGAAUGCUAUAUUUAUAAAAUAUUGACAUUCUACUGCAAAAUGUGUUUGUGGUCACACUUUUUUUCCUUCUGGCUUAGACAUCAACCGAACUAAGGUUUUCAAUGGAAAAAAAAAAAUGGUGAACUAGUCUUGCAAAACUUAAAUUCUGUCUGUCUGUCUGCUGCAGCAGCUGUCAGUAUGCACCUCCCCCUUUCUUUUGCCUAAAUUGCCCUCCCGCACCCUGUUUUUUAAAUAUGAUUUAAUUAUUGUAUUUGCUUGUGUUUGGGAACAUUGGGCCAGUAGCCACAUAUUUUUUUUCAACUGCGCUAUAAUGUUAAGUAUUGUGGUUAAUUUUGCACCAAACCUUAUCAGGAAUGCGCAAACAUUCCUGACUGUUGUGUUGCUCAACUAUAAAGCAGCCAUGAGGAAGAGGAUGAGGAGGGCUCGGGGCGAGGAGCGCUGUGCUGUAUGUACAAUUCUCCCAAAGGCUCAAAUAAAUGCCCAUCAUAUAUUAAAA